ACUAUAUUAGAAAAUUAUAAUUUCAUCAUGGAAUUACUAAUUACAAUAAAGGAAAAAGCACAAUUUAGUACCGUGUGGUUACUUGUUUUUUUCAACUUUUGGGAUGUAGUUUUUUAGUGAUAAAUGGAUACUUCUAGUUGAAACCAUUACCAAAAUCAGGAAAAAUCACUAACACCUUCUUCUUUUUGCUAAUGUGUCAUUUUUUAUUAUUAAAAAAAUCUGAUGUCAGUAUGUGGGCCCCACACACAAAUUAAAAUAAAUAAAAACCCUAAAAAAUUUUUAGAGUUG
rnacentral:misc_RNA from 1 species